rfam:Camelus ferus unplaced genomic scaffold scaffold1549, whole genome shotgun sequence.
GGUAGUGUAGCUCAGUGGUAGAGUGCGUGCUUAGCAUCCAUGAGGUCCUGGGUUUACUCCCCAGUACCUCCA